GAGAUUAAUUAGUGCAAUAAUUCGGGAGGCCAUUUAUGUGAGUCUGAGUCUUGUUCAAAUUCUUAAUUUUUUUGCAUAAAGAGCGUACUCUUAGUAGGACAGCGUUGCUUCAGCCAUUGUCUGCCUCUGAAAGCCUUGAAGACAUCUUGAUGUUUUAAACUAAAUUCUCAUUAGAAUGUCUCUGUUUUACAGACAUUUUGGAAUGGCCUCAGCCAAAAUGUUCUCAGAGCAGCAUCCAGCAGGAAAUACGCGGAAGCCUUGAGAAUUGAUGUUCCGUGCUGCUCCCCCACCAGCAGUGCCCAUAAAACAUGGAUUGCUAAGAUUUGUUUGACUAAAACCGACCAAACAAAAAGUAAAACAAAAACCAAAUUAAAACCCUGAUGGAGCAAAUUGUUUUACAGUGCCAUGAAAUGGGUGAUGCCUAGGUCCAUUCCCCUGCAGAUAAAGUUCAUUUCAAACAUG